rnacentral:rRNA from 1 species
UACGUAGGGUGCAAGCGUUGUCCGGAAUUAUUGGGCGUAAAGAGCUCGUAGGCGUCUGUCGCGUCGGCUGUGAAAACCCGGGGCUCAACCCCGGGCCUGCAGUCGAUACGGGCAGACUAGAGUGCGGUAGGGGAGACUGGAAUUCCGUGGUGUAGCGGUGAAAUGCGCAGAUAUCAGGAGGAACACCGGUGGCGAAGGCGGGUCUCUGGGCCGUAACUGACGCUGAGGAGCGAAAGCGUGGGGAGCGAACAGG